UACGUAGGUGGCAAGCGUUGUCCGGAAUUAUUGGGCGUAAAGCGCGCGCAGGCGGUCCUUUAAGUCUGAUGUGAAAGCCCACGGCUCAACCGUGGAGGGUCAUUGGAAACUGGGGGACUUGAGUGCAGGAGAGAAGAGUGGAAUUCCACGUGUAGCGGUGAAAUGCGUAGAGAUGUGGAGGAACACCAGUGGCGAAGGCGACUCUUGGCCUGUAACUGACGCUGAGGCGCGAAGCGUGGGGAGCAAACAGGAUUGAG
rnacentral:rRNA from 1 species